rnacentral:rRNA from 1 species
GAUGAACGCUGGCGGUAUGCUUAACACAUGCAAGUCGAACGGACUCUUCGGAGUUAGUGGCGGACGGGUGCGUAACGCGUGAGAAUCUGGCUUUGGGUUCGGGACAACCACUGGAAACGGUGGCUAAUACCGGAUGUGCCGAGCGGUCAAAGAGGAAUUGCCUGAAGAUGAGCUCGCGUCUGAUUAGCUAGUUGGUGAGGUAAAGGCACACCAAGGCAGCGAUCAGUAGCUGGUUUGAGAGGAUGACCAGCCACCCUGGGACUGAGACGCGGCCCAGACGCCUACGGGGGGAAGCAGUGGGGAAUUAUCCGGAACGGGCGAAAGCCUGACGGAGCAAUACCGCGUGAGGGAAGAAGGAUGUUGGGGUGUAAACCUGUUUUCUUAGGGAAGAACAAAAUGACGGUACCUGAGGAAUAAGCACCGGCUAACUCCGUG